UACGUAGGGCGCAAGCGUUGUCCGGAAUUAUUGGGCGUAAAGAGCUCGUAGGCGGUUCGGUAAGUCGGAUGUGAAAACUUUGGGCUCAACCCAAAGCGUGCAUUCGAUACUGCCGUGACUUGAGUUCGGUAGGGGAGUGGGGAAUUCCUAGUGUAGCGGUGAAAUGCGCAGAUAUUAGGAGGAACACCGGUGGCGAAGGCGCCACUCUGGGCCGAAACUGACGCUGAGGAGCGAAAGCGUGGGUAGCAAACAGG
rnacentral:rRNA from 1 species